GGCUGUAUGGCUCAGUUGGUAGAGCAUGGCACUUACACUGCCAGGGUUGUGGGUUUGAUUCCCGGGGACACCCA
rnacentral:tRNA from 1 species